GGAACAGGUUGUAACAGACCUGUUGAUUUCAACAGACUUGCUGCAAGUUGUUCUAUCAGACCUGUUAUCUCUUGUUAGUAACAGGCUUGUAGCGGGUUGUUUCAACAAGUCGCUACGGCUCUGUUGUCAACAGCUUGCGACAGACCUGUUACCGCAAGCCUGUUACCGCCUGACGAAACCAACAGACCUGUCGCGACUUGUUGACAACUUGCCGCAAGCCGGUAAAAUCAACAGCUUGCGACAGGCCUGUGAGAUUUCUGGCUGUGUAGUGCAUGUGUGUUUCACCAACACGACUGGAGUUAGAUUCACGGACAUGCACCCAACAGAAUUGUGUUUUCUCAUUUUGGUACGGUAGGCCCUGUGCAAAAAAUUAAAAUCAUUGGAAACAGUGGAUCGCAUGAAGAACAGUGGGAUUUUUAAAUCAAUGAAGAUGGAAUACUGAACAGUGGCACAAUAGACCCUUCCAGAGGCAGAGCCUUGUUUUCGGGAUAGAGAUAUCGGCUUUACAGGCCCUAAUAAUUUAUUUGCUACUGAUGACUAAAUUAU